rnacentral:rRNA from 1 species
AUUGAACGCUGGCGGCAGGCCUAACACAUGCAAGUCGAGCGGAGCGGCGGACGGGUGAGCAAUGCCUAGGAAUCUGCCUGGUAGUGGGGGAUAAUGUCCGGAAACGGGCGCUAAUACCGCACACUAUCAGAUGCGACUAGGUCGGGUUAGCUAGUCGGUGGGGUAAAGGCCUUCCAGGGUGACGAUCCGUAACUGGUCUGAGAGGAUGAUCAGUCACACUGCAACGUAGACACGGUCCGGACCCAUACGGGAGGCAGCAGUGGGGAAUAUUCGACAGUUGGCGAAAUCCUGAUCCAGCCAUGCCGCGUGUGUGAAGAAGGUCUUCGGAUUGUAAUGCGCUUUAUGUUGGGAAGCGUUACCAACAGAAUAAGGACCGGCUAACUGCGUGCCAGCAGCCGCGGUAAUAC